rnacentral:rRNA from 1 species
GACAAACGCUGGCGGCAUGCCUAACACAUGCAAGUCGAACGGACAGAACAGGGAAGCUUUUCGGUGUGGAACUGGAAAGUUAGUGGCGGAUGGGUGAGUAACGCGUGGACAACCUACCUUGUAAAGGGGAAUAACCUCGAGAAAUCGAAGCUAAUACCCCAUAAUAACCUUGCUUCGCAUGAAGUAAGGAGGAAAGGCGGCCUUAGCGCUGUCGAUACAAGAUGGGUCCGCGUCUGAUUAGCUAGUUGGUGAGGUAAAGGCUCACCAAGGCGACGAUCAGUAGCCGGCCUGAGAGGGUGAACGGCCACAUUGGGACUGAGACACGGCCCAAACUCCUACGGGAGGCAGCAGUGGGGAAUCUUCCGCAAUGGGCGAAAGCCUGACGGAGCAAUGCCGCGUGAGUGAAGAAGGCCUUCGGGUUGUAAAACUCUGUCCUUAUCGAAGAGAGAGUGUUGUAGUAACUGACAAUACUAGGACGGUAGAUGAGGAGGAAGCCCCGGCUAACUAUGUG